AAUCAUGUAGGUAAGGGAAGUCGGCAAAAUGGAUCUGUAACUUUGGGAAAAAGAUUGGCUCUGAGGGCUGG
rnacentral:rRNA from 1 species